AACGAACGCUGGCGGCAGGCUUAACACAUGCAAGUCGAACGCCCCGCAAGGGGAGUGGCAGACGGGUGAGUAACGCGUGGGAAUCUACCCAGUUCUACGGAAUAACCCAGGGAAACUUGGACUAAUACCGUAUACGCCCUACGGGGGAAAGAUUUAUCGGAAUUGGAUGAGCCCGCGUUGGAUUAGCUAGUUGGUGGGGUAAUGGCCUACCAAGGCGACGAUCCAUAGCUGGUCUGAGAGGAUGAUCAACCACACUGGGACUGAGACACGGCCCAGACUCCUACGGGAGGCAGCAGUGGGGAAUAUUGGACAAUGGGCGCAAGCCUGAUCCAGCCAUGCCGCGUGAGUGAUGAAGGCCUUAGGGUUGUAAAGCUCUUUCAGUGGGGACGAUGAUGACGGUACCCACAGAAGAAGCCCCGGCUAACUUCGUGCCAGCCGCCGCCGUAAGAC
rnacentral:rRNA from 1 species